rfam:Gregarina niphandrodes unplaced genomic scaffold scaffold00137, whole genome shotgun sequence.
GCACCAGUAGUUUAGGGGGUUGAAUUUAAGCUUCCCAAGCUUAAAGCCCGGGUUCGAGUCCCGGCUGGUACA